rnacentral:lncRNA from 1 species
AAAAUUAAUUCUUUAGGAUGCCCAUGAGCAUACCUCCAAGCCUUAGUCAGCCCAUGAUCCACAAUUGCCUCUUGGCUUGUUGAUGCAUUUCCAAUUAGUUUUUGUUCAUCUUCUUGUAAUGUCAUCUCAUCAAUCUUUUCUUCAAGAAUUUCUGCAUCAUCAUCAGGAACAACUCUCUUGCUAGAAGAGAUAUCAUUAGUAUCAUCAAA